CCUGUCCUCUUUGACUUGUCUGCACGAGAGUUAUUACGGGAUGAAAAUACUCACACUCAACAGAAUGUUUCAAAGCAUUGCCUCACACUACUCACAGACAUGUUUUUCAAUACAAGUCAAGUUAUUUACCUGUCUCAAAAGUAGAUUCCUUCAUCUCAUUGACCAACUAUUCGACACGGAGAUUUGAUAUUCGAUACGGGAGAGCUGCUUAAGGCCAAGAGACUCUGUUGUAGUAAUUCGUCUUGCCUUUCUGGCCAAUGGGAAUGUCCCCAUCAAAUCCGGAAAGUCCGAUGACCUUGUAGCAAAAUGACUAAAUGGAGUCCUGAUAAGAGUGCAGUACAAAUGGAUAAAACAAGGCAAUGUUUCUAGUAUCGAAAGUACUUUUAUGAGAGCUAGGUUUCAUGACCUAAAACUUGGUUGUUUUUAGCAGUCGGGAUGUUUACAGUGUGUUACUGUGUCGCUGUUACGGGACAAACUUUUGUUGAAAUAGACAAACCAAAAGGAAAAUAAAGAAUCGAUGAAUAGCGUGCAGUUGAAAUGGACGUCCUUGACAUUGCCCAGAAAUGUACACACCAGAACCUGGAGGCCAGCAAUUACAAGUCAGAACAUAAAACAUGUCUAGCAGACUUUGAGAGGGUCUGAUUGCAGUGACGACUGAAGAUAACUGCAGCAUCAAGGUGAGCGAGUGCAAGUGCAUUACCUGUUGACUUCCUGUCGGCUGGAAUCUUCACUCUCUGCUGCAACCUUCUGUCCAAGACGCUCAAGGGACGUCACCGAUUAAAGAAUUAGAAGCUGACUGUAAGCUAGCUACUGUAUUAGUUUUUGAGAAGUCUAAAUUAAGAGAAAAGUUAUUAAAACAUUGAUCUUUGACGUGAGUCAAAGGUCAAAAAGGUCAAGUUACAUUUCUCAAUAUUAGCUACUUUAAAAACUUUUGUGAUAGAUAGAUAAAUAG